rnacentral:rRNA from 1 species
UGGCCAGACUCCUACGGGAGGCAGCAGUGAGGAAUAUUGGUCAAUGGCCGGAAGGCUGAACCAGCCAAGCCGCGUGAAGGACGAAGGUGCCAAGCAUUGUAAACUUCUUUUGUCAAGGGACAAAAUCAGGCUCGAGAGCCUGACCGAGGGUACUUGAAGAAAAAGCAUCGGCUAACUCCGUGCCAGCAGCCGCGGUAAUACGGAGGAUGCGAGCGUUAUCCGGAUUUAUUGGGUUUAAAGGGUGCGUAGGCGGGCUGUUAAGUCAGCGGUAAAAUGUCGGGGCUCAACCCCGGCCUGCCGUUGAAACUGGCAGUCUCGAGUUGGAGAGAAGUAUGCGGAAUGCGCGGUGUAGCGGUGAAAUGCAUAGAUAUCGCGCAGAACUCCGAUUGCGAAGGCAGCAUGCCGGCUCCACACUGACGCUGAGGCACGAAAGCGUGGGUAUCGAACAGGAUUAGAUACCCCCGUA